rnacentral:rRNA from 1 species
AAGGAAUAUUGGACAAUGGGGGCAACCCUGAUCCAGCCAUCCCGCGUGCAGGAAGAAGGCCCUACGGGUUGUAAACUGCUUUUAUGAGGGAAGAAAUGACUUGAUUUAUCGAGUUUUGACGGUACCUCAGGAAUAAGCACCGGCUAACUCCGUGCCAGCAGCCGCGGUAAUACGGAGGGUGCGAGCGUUAUCCGGAAUUACUGGGUUUAAAGGGUGCGUAGGCGGCCUAAUAAGUCAGGAGUGAAAGUUAUCCGCUUAACGGGGAAAUUGCUUUUGAUACUGUUAGGCUAGAAUGAGGAUGAGGUAGGCGGAAUGUGGCAAGUAGCGGUGAAAUGCAUAGAUAUGCCAUAGAACACCAAUUGCGAAGGCAGCUUACUGGACCUUAAUUGACGCUGAGGCACGAAAGCGUGGGGAGCGAAC